rnacentral:SRP_RNA from 1 species
GCUGGGCAUGGUGGUGCAUGCCUGUAAUUCCAGCUACUCAGGAGGCUGAGGCAGGAGGAUCACUUGAACCUGGGAGGCGGAGGUUGCAGUGAGCCAAGAUCAUGCCACUGCACUCCAGCCUGGGUGAUAGAGUGAGACUCCGUCUCAA